rnacentral:rRNA from 1 species
UACGGAGGGAGCAAGCGUUACUCGGAAUUAUUGGGCGUAAGGGCGCGUAGGCGGCUGGGGAAGUCGGUGGUGAAAGCUCGUGGCUCAACUACGAGUCGGCCAACGAUACUCCUCGGCUCGAGCACUGUAGAGGCAGGUGGAAUUCCGGGUGUAGCGGUGGAAUGCGUAGAGAUCCGGAAGAACACCGGUGGCGAAGGCGGCCUGCUGGGCAGUAGCUGACGCUGAGGCGCGACAGCGUGGGGAGCAAACAGG